GAUUAAUUUUGAGUUGCUGAUGACACUGCACAUGGUCUUCCUAGAAAGCUGCUGAAGAGUGAGGAACUGUCAAUCAGCAGGGACCCUCCUGAAUUAGGUGAAUGCUAACAUUUGGCAAGUGUCAUCACAGUUGCUUGCCCAUGCCCUUGUAAUGCUCUAAGCCAGUGACCCUUCCCUCUUUGUCACACAUUUCAGGUAGCACUCAGAGCUCAUUGUGUGCAACUGAGGUCAACUGCCAACCAACCAAGUGCUCUGUCCUGCUCACACAAAGCUUUCCCUGAAGGCAAGAGAAAAGAAUAAUAAAAGGGGGAAAUGGCCUGCUGAGCAAAGACUCUGAGUCUUUUAUAACAGGAGGUCGUUUUUGAUUAUAGGAAGGAACCUUCAGUGGCCAUGGAAACCAAAAUGCCACACAAAAGACAGAGGGUGCUUGGGAGGUAAACAAGAUAGAUGAAAGGUGAUGGUGCUUUUAAUCUCCACAAUCAAUGUGUUUAGGUGGGUGACUUUAAUUUAAUCCAUGUCUGAUUAACCCACUCCCUUUGUUUACACCAUUAUAGAAGUUUUUCUCCUAUAAAAUUUUUAAACAAAUGUUAAAAGAUUCCAGGAGAGGGCUGGUUGCCACAGUGUUUUCAUCCUAUUCACCCCACUGAUGUAAUCAUGGAUGUUCUCAUUAUCCACAUAAAUGCCUAAUCCUUCUUAUUCCUGCUAAGCUUAUCCUCAGUGCUAUAUUUUUGAAUGAGAGAGUGAAAGUUCUUAUACAAAUACAAAUUCUUGUGACUUUCUCUUUUAGACACCUAGCAGGAUGAAACAACUGGAAACAAUGGCACUCAGUAAGGAAACCUUUUCCAUCAAGAAGCCUUGGAGCAGUUUUGUGAAAACUGGUUUUGAUUUGGUUUUCUGCAACAGGCAAUCUCUCCUGCAAAACAAUAUUGAAAAAUUUAAAGGCAAACUGACAGUGCAAAUCCUGGACACGGAGAUAAAAGUGGAACUACAUGAAUAUUUUAGAGGCAUCUAUAACUUGUACAUUCAGAAUACUUCUCCUACUGCUCUAUGA
rnacentral:lncRNA from 1 species